AGAGGAGGCGGAGCCAGAGCUCGGGAGCCAACCACCGCGGGGCCCGGUUGCCGUGGAAACCGCCUCCCUCCCUUCAGCCCCCGCCCCGGGCUUGAAGGUCCUUUCAACUGCUUGCUAGAAAUUGAACAAUUCCCACUCCUAGCCAGCGGGCUGCGGCUGCACCUGACCCUUGGAAACUGGACGAGUGCUGCCUUUUGCCUCUUCUGAGUUUAAUCCUCGGGGGAUGAGCUUUUCCGUUCUGGAGGUAGUGGGGUGGGGGGACGUCCCUGCCGGUUGCAGGUGGAAGUGAUUUGGGGGUGAGGGGCCAGGGCCUGGUCGGGUGACUUGGUGAACCCCUGAGCUAGUGGGCCAGAUUGAAGAGGAGGAAGCCGGUAGCGCUGGGGCCUCCUCAGCAGACUCGGCGCUGCCCCGGGUCUGCUCCCCGCACCAGGAGCCCAGACAGAAUGUAGCCAAGAAAUGCUUCCAGCUUGUCCAGAAAAUGGUGGAAAGCCGGUGAUCACUGAACAACAGAACCACCGACCCAGGGCCAGGUUAGAACGUCCUAACGAACGCAUAUAGCAAGACUUGAGUUGGAUGAGAACAGAAAGGACGGCCAAAAUCCAGCCUGCAGAGGAGGCUGCCCCAUCACCUCCGACUGUAGGUGGGUGUGCAUUGUUGGUGGGGAAAGCAUCCUAGCACGUGUUGAAGCUCCAUCUCCUGCAUCCUGGAUCUUGCAUUGGCCCUGAAACUGGAAACAAACACGGCUGGACUUCUGUGUCCCUGAACAGAGCCAUAUGUCUGAGCCCCUGUCUGAGCCCCUUGUCUGGAGUGAGUCUUAGGGUCCAUCGCCACACUCCCUGUCCAUCUCACCACGAACCCUGUCCCUUGCACCUGGAGUUCACAUCCCACCCUCCUCCUCAUCUUGACCUGCCAGAAUUUUAACCAUCCUCCAAACUAUCAAAGGCCACCUCCUCCAAGAAGCCUUUCAUUAUUAUGCCCUUUGUGACAUCCCUAACAGAUGUCAACUCUUCCUGCUUGGAAUCCUUAACAGUAUUUCAGACCUUAACAGAGUUUCUGGGCUUCAGUCAUUUUUAAAAUGUUGGGUUUUUUUUUUUAAUGUUGACUUUAGCUUACUACAAUAUUAUAAAUUCUUUGAAAGCAAUUUUUUAAAGUUAAUGUCCAUUUUUGUAUAUGAAAGGCAGAGACACAAAAAGAGAGAUCUUGCACCAGCUGGUUCACUCCCCAAAUGCCUGCAACAGCCAAGACUAGACCAGGUCAAAGCCAGGAGCCCAGAACUCCAUCCAGGUCUCCCAUGUGGGUGGCAGAGACGCAAGGACUUGAACCAUCAUCUGCUGUUUUCCAGAGCGUCUUAGCAGGAAGUUGGAUAGGAAGCAGAAGAGUGGGGAUUUGAAUGAGGCACUCCAAUAUGAGGUGCGGGCAUCCCAAGCAGUAAUGUUGCCAUGGCACCAGAUGCCCACCUUGGCAAGGAUUCUUCUUUUGCCCUUCUGUGUACUCCACAGAACCUUGAAGAAUGCUGGAAAGUAGUUGGCAAAUAUAAGAGAGGUCUUCAAAAAGGUUGUGGAAAUGCAUACUAUGAAAAGAUGAAGAGAGAUUUCAAGGAUUUUUUUUGCACCAAAAUAAGCUUAUAUUUUAAUUCCAUUUUCUACAGACUUUUUGAAGUAUCUUAUGCUUUUAAUUUAAUCUAAUAAAAAUUUUUUGGGAGCCAGUGCUGUGGCAUAGUGGGUAAAGCCACCACCUGCAGUGCCAGCAUCCCAUAUGGACACUGGUUCGAGUCCUGGCUGCUCCUCUUCCGAUCCAGCUCUCUGCUAUGGCCUGGGAAAGCAGCAGAAGAUGGCCCAGGUGCUUGGGCCCCUGCACCCACGUGGGAGACCCAGAAGAAGCUCCUGGAUCCUGGCUUCGGAUUGGUACAGCUCCGGCCGUUGCAGCCAUCUGGGGAGUGAACCAGCAGAUGGAGGAUCUCCUUCUCUGUCUCUCUCUCUCUCUCUGUAUCUCUACCUUUCAAACAAAUCUUUUUUUUUUUUAAAUGUUCUGAACAUUGGGGCUGGUGUGAUGGUACCACAGGUUAAGCUGCUGCCUAUGGUACCAGUAUGGGAUACUGGCACCAGUUGAAGUCCCGGCUCCUCCACUUGUGAUCCGGCUCCCAACUACUGUGCCUGAGAAGGCAGCAAAGGACAGCCCAGGUACUUGGGCCCCUGCCACUGAUGUGGAAGACCCAGAUGGAGUUCCAGGCUCCUGGCUUCUACCUCGCCGAAGCCCUGCCAUUGCGGCCAUUUGGGGAAUAAACUAGUUAGUGUAUGGAAGAUCUCCCUCUCUCUCUGUCACUCUGCCUUUCCAAUAAAUAAAUCUUUAUUUAAAAAAUUAUUGAACAUUAACUAUGGCCAGACCCAGAUAGCACAGAAGAUGUCGAUAAAUGUGAAAUAUAAUAUAGGGUGGGCAUUUGGCACAGUGGUUAAGACAGCACAGGGGACACUUGCAUCCCAUAUCAGGGUGCCUGAGUUUGAGUCCUGACUCCACUUGGAAUUGCAGCUUCCUGUUGAUGUGCACCCUGGGAGACAACAGGUGAUGGCUCGGGUCCUUGGGUCCUCGCCACCCACAUGGGAGACCCAAAUGGAGUUCCUGGCUCCUGGAUUCAGCCUGGCCCAGCCCUGGCUCUUGCAGGGAUUUGGGGAGCCAGUGGAUGAAAGAUUUAUCUCUGUGUGUGUGUUUAAGAAAACUGAAGCCACCUGGAAUUCAAUCAUUAUGAACUCAGAACACAUUGCCUGACAUUGCCUGAGAACCUAGAUCCAGCCCUGUGUUUGUGUGCUUUUGCCCUUAGCUGAGUCUUACAGCUUAGCGCGGGGAUAGUAAGCAAGUAAACCCACAGCACACUACAGGUUCCGAUGGCUCCUAUGAGGGUAAACUGAGAACAAAGGGGAAGUCUCAUCUGGCGAGGUAUGUCAAGCUCAAGUCUGAUCCUAGAGUUCAUGGCCACCAUGUCACUCUGUCCUAUAAAAAUGGCACCGUCUAUGACAUCUGCCACAGAGGCAGGAUGGAGGGGGCCAAGGAUGGCGCCCACACUCCCCACUCCCCCAAAGGCUGGUCCUGGCCAUAGGCAGGGCAAGGUAGGAAGGAGAAUGAAGAGGGAGACUCAUCCCCAGGAGCCCUGGUGGCUGCGGUGGAGGCAGAGCCUCUGGCCCUGGGGUUCCAGGGUUAAGAGCCCCACCUUCUGGCCUACUGUGCAAAUUACAAAGGGAGGUGGGCCACGGAGCUGCCUCUGCGGCCGCCUGAGGCUGCCGUCCUCUGGGGCACUGUGGAAGCCAGGCGUUCCCUUCCCAGGGCUCAUGUGGUCUCUCUCUCUUUCCUGAGUACAGACAGCAGGCUCUUAGCUUCUACCGCUCCCUAUGCAUGUUGGAAAAAUGCAAAUGAUGGUUCUCAGCAGGGCCAGCAAUGAAGCCCUCAAGGAGCUGCAUGGAGAAUAUUCGGCCAACGCCACCACCUCCCAUUGGUUAUUCUUCUAAAGAAGCCAAGAAAAUCAGUGGGGCUGGCUUUUUGGCAUAGAAGGUAAAGCCACCACCUGCAGCACUGGCAUCCCAUAUGGGCAGUCCCAGCUGCUCCACUUCCGAUCCAGCUCCCUGCCAAUGGCCUGGGAAAGCAGCAGAAGAUGGCCCAAGUCCUUAGGCCCCUGCACCCAUGUGGGAGACCUGGAAGGAGCUCCUGACUCCUGGCUUCUGAUUGGCCCCACUCCAGCCAUUGUGGCCAUGUGGGGAGUGAACCGUUAGGUGGAAGAUCUCGUUCUCUGUCUCUCUCUCCGUAACUCUGCCUUUUAAAUCUUUAACAAAUAAUAAAAUUAUGAAAAUUAAAUAACAGGAACAGAACUCAGAUUUUCUGGGCCAGCAUUUGGCCUGGAAGAAGGCAUAAAGUGGAGAAGAAAAUGUCAAAUGAAUGUGUGGUGACAACAACCACACACACAUCAUCAUCACAUCAACAGGGAAGCAGGGAGGCACAAGACAGGAACUGCCUCAAUCCUUACAGCAACUCAGAGGUUCUAUAAUCCCACUUUACAGAUGAGAAGACUGGGGCUUAGCGCCAUAGACGUCCUCGGGUCCAGACUGCAUGAGUCUGACCAUCCUCCUGCCUCCCCUGGGGCUGCUGGGGAUCUACCCUUCUCUAACUGUCAAAGGCUCCACUCUCUGCUGCCAACUGAGUCUACCUUCUACAUUCCGUCUCUACCCUCCUCUCUCUCUCUAGGACCACUGGUUCCUACACUUCGGGGGAAGAGGCAGGUCUUGAGCCCCCGGGAGAGAUGAUAAAGUCGCUGGGUUCUCUUUUUUAAAGAUUUAUUUAUUUAUUUGAAAGAGUUACACAGAGAGAGGAGAGGCAGAGAGAGAGGGAGAGAGAGGUCUUCCAUCAGCUGGUUCACUCCCCAGUUGGCCGCAACAGCCAGAGCUGAGCUGAUCCGAAGCUGGGAGCAAGGAGCUUCUUCCGGGUCUCCCACACCAGUGCAGGGGCUCAAGAACUUGGCCAUCUUCUACUGCUUUCCCAGGCCAUAGCAGAGAGCUGGAUCGGAAGAGCAACAGCCGGGACUCGAACCAGUGCCCAUAUGGGAUGCUAGCACUGCAGGUGGUGGCUUUAACCUGCUAUGCCACAGCGCUGGCCCCAUGGGCUCUCUUUCUUCUCAGGUAAUUUCACAGGACACAAAGUGCUAGCUAUCCAGUCGUGAGUUACUUAAGACAGAUUCAUUCUGAGUAGCGCACUGUUUGGCAAUGUGACUGUUACACGACUCUCAUGGGGAGCACUUACACAAGCUGGGAGAGCUACAAUGCCUCUGGGCGGGACUUUCCCAUCAUUGACCAGAAAGUGCACAGCUCUACUGCCCAAAGGGCACCGAACUUCUCUCAUCUGGAGAUAAACAGGCAUAAAUGCGAGAAACUCAGAACAUCCGAGAAAACGCUCCCAUACAAUUGCCGACGUUUCCAUUAAAAGCACUCUAAUUCUUCUGACAGUUUGCCAUGUCUCUGGCUCUGAACUGUCCAAGGGUCCGCAUGGGAGAGUUCCCAAUCUUCACUUGCCUUUAUGUAUCUUCCUUUAAAAAAAUAAUUGAUUGAUUUACUUAUUUAUUUGAAAGGCAGAGUGUCAGAGAGAGAGAGAGAGAGAGAGAGAGAUCUUCCAUCUGCUGGUUCACUCUCCAGACAGCCAGAACAGCCAUGUCUGGACCAGGCUGAAGCCAGGAACCAGAAACUACAGUCUGGUCUCUCACACAGGCGGCAGGGGCCCAAUUACUUGAACCACCUUCAGCUGCCUUGUCAGGCACAUUAGCAGGAAGCUGGAUCUGAAGCAGAGCAGCCAGACCUGACCUUGAACUCUGAUUUGGGACGUAGCCAUGGCAACAGUGGCUAUUACUCCCUGGACUACAACCUAUCGCCCAGUUUCCAGCUGCUGCUUCUACCUGAUUUUUGCCUCCUAAUUAGACAUCUAAAACCAAGAAAAGGCUGCAGGAGAAGACGUCAGGAACCCAGGAGGAACUUAAUGAGGGCUUGUUUGUGCUGUAGCCUGUAUACUGCCAGCCUGGAACGCCACAGCCACAUACCACAGGGAAGAAUCCUGAAGCACCAGGAAAACCGACUGUUGGAAUCGCAUCACCCACCACCACCGCAUUCAUCAUCAACAUCAUCCACAGAACUUGGUCGCAUGGCACUCAGUGACACCUGGCUCUGAGGCAGAACACAGGUCACUUCUUCAUUUGCUUGGCAAUCAGCCUCCUCCUGGUUAGCCACAGUCGGAACUUUCUCAUCUCUUCUGGUAAGCGAUAACAGAAUAUGAACCAAAACCCGUAAUAAGGUUUGGAGUCUCUGGCCCAGAGAGCUCAUCUUCUAGAAGUUUACGUAAACAGCUGUAGAUGUACGUGCAUGGGGUUCCAGCAGCACCCUCGUACAUCCGGGGAUAUCCCCCAGUGGAAUGUGGGCACAAAUAUGAGGGGUGCGUUAGCCAUAGCGCAUUGCAUGCCAGUGCCUUAGGUUGCAAGGAGGGGAAGAAGUGGUGACCUGGCCAGUGCUCAGAGAGGUUGAGGUGCAACAUAUGCACCCGAGGGGGUCAGGAACGGGCCAGACACUGGACUGGCCUCUUGCCUCACUCUUCUUGAGGUCACCUCUCCCAAGGGGAACUUUUGCUCCCUGGUCUCCCUUCUACCUCCCAGACCUCUGAGAAAUUUCCUGUUCAAGGGCAUCUCCCAGGAAGAAGCCUAGAAGGGGCAAGGUGAUCCCUCUCUCUUGGACCAGUACCUUCCUUCCUCCCACGUGUUGCUCUGUGCCCAGGCCGAUUCUCCUUCCUCGCGCAGUAGCAAAGAGGGCCACGAGCUCUCAUCACCUUCCCAGCCAAUGGUUCCAUGAGUGGUCCUGUGGGUCUGUGGGGGUUUGGGUGGGGGGCUGGUCUAAGGUAGGAACAAGAGUUCAUCUUGUUUGCUGGUUUCAGGAAAUGACUCAGAAACCUCGGAGUGGCCUGGCUGGGGAAAUGUGCUCAACCCAGAGCCAAUCACAGAGACCAAGGUGUCGCGGAUUCACCGCCAGCGCUGGGGAGAGAGGUGGGCCCCAUCUAAACUGCAUGGACUACGAAUGAAUAUGGAAAGAAGCAGGUCUGGACACUGCACUGGGCCUGCCUCAAUCCCUGCCUGUCCUUGUACGUGGUCAAGUUCCACAGUCUCCUGUACUUGCUCAGAGUCCACUUCCCCAGAGUGACAAUCUUCGGUUGCCAGGUAGCCCGGGGGGGGGGGGGGGUCCCCCACCUCCCAUACCCUUCAAGUAACCCCUGAUACCAUAUGUGUGUCUUCUCCUGGGUUGCAGCAAGCAGCAACAGUAGCUACACAGUAACCGUCCUGUAACAGCCUGGAGGUCUGGCUUCACUCUGAGUAAAACCAAACCCCUUGCCUUGCCUAACCUAAGGCAGAGAUCACUGGGGCAGAAAUGGGAACUCCCAGGCCCUAGCCAUGGCUGCACCACGUGGUUGUACAACUUGUAUCCUGCAGGGGUUUAGCUUCCAGGCCAAGUAUCCCCAUGUAAAGGUCCCUCAAGUGGCAGAGGAAAGGGGGCCUUUUACCAAUGACCACAGUAAAGGGCAGCAUUUGGCACAGCACGUAAGAUGCUACUGGGGGGCCGAUGCUGUGGCACAGUGGGUUAAUGCCCUGGCCUGAAGCACCGGCAUUCCAUGUGGGCACCGGUUCGAGUCCCGGCUGCUCUACUUCCAAUCCAGCUCUCUGCUAUAGUCUGGGAAAGCAGUGGAAGACGGCCCAAGUCCUUGGGCCCCUGCACCAGCAUGGGAGACCCAGAAGAAGCUCCUGGCUCCUGGCUUCGGAGCAGUCCAGCUCCGGCCAUUGUGGCCAACUGAGGACUGAACCAGCAGAUGGAAGACCUCUCUCUCUGCCCCUCCUUCUCUCUCUAUGUAACUCUGACUUUCAAAUAAAUAAAUACAUCUUAAAAAAAAAAAAAAGACACUAUUUGGGACACCUGCAUCCGAUAUCAGAUUGCCCAGGUUCAAGUCUCGCUUCUGCUCACAAUUUCAGCUCCCUGGGGGGAAGCAGGUGAUGGCUCAAGCACUUAGAUCCCUGCCACCCACGUGAGUUCCUGGUUCUUGGAUUCAGCCUGGCCUGGCCUGGCCUAGUCCUGACUGUUGUAGGAAUUUGGGAAGUGAACCAACAGAUGGAAGAUCUUUGUCUCUGUCUCUACCUUUUCUAUAAAGCGAAAAUAAGUAAAUUAACUAAAAAGAAAAACAACGUCCCACGGUGCUCUUUGUGGGCUAACAACCUGCCCUGCCUACAGCACAGGUACAGAUAAGGGGUGAUUGUUUCCAGGCAAGAAUUUCAAGGCUUGGACUUUACACCUGGUGACACGGCUCGAGGAACAGAAUGAUUGUCGUAUGAGGUGUUUCUUUGCUUCUGGGUGUGGUGUGGCUGGGCAUAAAGGCAGUGAAGCUGCAGUUCUGUGCUCCCACAGUCAGCCAGGCAUCUUGCAGCCCCAUGGACCACCGGUGCCAUCACACUCAGGUGGGGUGGGGGGAUGUCUCUAUGACUCAGUACAAGAGCUCACAGAGAACAGCAGCAGCUACCGCCCAGAUGUACCCUUGUCUCAUUUUUUUUUUUUUAUUUGAAAGAGCUACACACAGAGAGAGGUCUUCCAUCUGCUGGUUUACUCCCUAAUUGGCCACAACAGCUGGAGCUGCGCCUAUCCGAAGCCAGGAGUCGGGAGCUUCUUCCAGGUCUCCCACGCAGGUGCAGGGGCCCAAGGACUUGGGCCAUCUUCUCCUGCUUUCCCAGGCCAUAGCAGAGAGCCGGAUCAGAAGUGGAGCAGCCAGGACUCGAACCAGCACCCUUAUGGGAUGCCAGCACUGCAGGCUAGCGGCCCCACCCUUGUCUCAUUUUUAUCCUUUGUGCUGCGUUUGGUUGCUGUGGGCGUAACCAAAAUGAGAGCAGGACUCGGUGGCCUCCGUUCUUGGCCACUCUCAAACUCAAACCAAACUUUACAGCUCAGCAACGGUUUCCCCCAUGAGCUGUCGGCGGGGCUGCCCGUACUCUA